UAGGGAAUCUUCGGCAAUGGACGAAAGUCUGACCGAGCAACGCCGCGUGAGUGAAGAAGGCUUUCGGAUCGUAAAACUCUGUUGUUAGAGAAGAACAAGGACGUUAGUAACUGAACGUCCCCUGACGGUAUCUAACCAGAAAGCCACGGCUAACUACGUGCCAGCAGCCGCGGUAAUACGUAGGUGGCAAGCGUUGUCCGGAUUUAUUGGGCGUAAAGCGAGCGCAGGCGGUUUCUUAAGUCUGAUGUGAAAGCCCCCUGCUCAACCGGGGAGGGUCAUUGGGAACUGGGAGACUUGAGUGCAGAAGAGGAGAGUGGAAUUCCAUGUGUAGCGGUGAAAUGCGUAGAUAUAUGGAGGAACACCAGUGGCGAAGGCGGCUCUCUGGUCUAUAACUGACGCUGAGGCUCGAAAGCGUGGGGAGCAAACAGG
rnacentral:rRNA from 1 species